rnacentral:tRNA from 1 species
GCCUUCUUGGUGUAACGGUUGCAUACUCGACGCGUAUUCUAGAGGCCUAGGUUCGAGUCCCGGGGAAGGCA